UGUAACAAGGUUUCCGUAGGUAAGUUAUCGAUCAGCCGUUACAUCCUCGUCAACAAAUACUAAUCUCUCCUAGGUGAACCUGCGGAAGGAUCAUUA
rnacentral:rRNA from 1 species